rnacentral:rRNA from 1 species
GUCCACGCCCUAAACGAUGGCAACUGGGUGUUGGGGGAGCGAUUCCUCAGUACCGUAGCUAACGCGUGAAGUUGCCCGCCUGGGGAGUACGGCCGCAAGGUUAAAACUCAAAGGAAUUGACGGGGACCCGCACAAGCGGUGGAUGAUGUGGAUUAAUUCGAUGCAACGCGAACAACCUUACCUACCCUUGACAUGUCCGGAAGCCUGCCGAGAGGUGGGUGUGCCCGAAAGGGAAUCGGAACACAGGUGCUGCAUGGCUGUCGU